rnacentral:rRNA from 1 species
CAGUAGCCACGGUAAUACGUAGGUGGCAAGCGUUGUCCGGAAUUAUUGGGCGUAAAGGGCUCGCAGGCGGUUUCUUAAGUCUGAUGUGAAAGCCCCCGGCUCAACCGGGGAGGGUCAUUGGAAACUGGGAAACUUGAGUGCAGAAGAGGAGAGUGGAAUUCCACGCGUAGCGGUGAAAUGCGUAGAGAUGUGGAGGAACACCAGUGGCGAAGGCGACUCUCUGGUUUGUAACUGACGCUGAGGAGCGAAAGCGUGGGGAGCGAACAGGAUUAGAUACCCCUGUAGUCCCUGUCUCUUAUAC